CCAGACUCCUACGGGAGGCAGCAGUGGGGAAUAUUGCACAAUGGGGGAGACCCUGAUGCAGCAACGCCGCGUGAGUGAAGAAGUCAUUCGUGAUGUAAAGCUCUAUCAGCAGGGAAGAAAAUGACGGUACCUGAGUAGGAAGCCCCGGCUAACUACGUGCCAGCAGCCGCGGUAAUACGUAGGGGGCAAGCGUUAUCCGGAUUUACUGGGUGUAAAGGGAGCGUAGACGGCAGUGCAAGUCCGGAGUGAAAGCCCGGGGCUCAACCCUGGGACUGCUCUGGAAACUGUAAAGCUGGAGUGCGGGAGGGGCAGGCGGAAUUCCUAGUGUAGCGGUGAAAUGCGUAGAUAUUAGGAGGAACACCGGUGGCGAAGGCGGCUUACUGGACUGUAACUGACGUUGAGGCUCGAAGGCGUGGGGAGCAAACAGGAUUAGAUACCCGCGUA
rnacentral:rRNA from 1 species